GAUGAAGAACGUAGUGAAAUGCGAUAAGUAAUGUGAAUUGCAGAAUUCAGUGAAUCAUCGAAUCUUUGAACGCACAUUGCGCCCGGCAGUAAUCUGCCGGGCAUGCCUGUCCGAGCGUCAUUUCACCCCUCGAGCCGCUUUUAGUGGAUCGGUGUUGGGGCACUACGGUAAAACGUAGGCCCUGAAAUGAAGUGGCGGUCCCGCCGCGGUGCCCCCAUGCGUAGUAACGUUUAGUCUCGCAUCGGGUCCCGGCGGAGGCCUGCCGUCAAGCCUAUUUAUUCUCAGAAUAGUUUGACCUCGGAUCAGGUAGGGUUACCCGCUGAACUUAAGCAUAUCAAUAAGCGGAGGA
rnacentral:misc_RNA from 1 species